AUUGAACGCUGGCGGCAGGCCUAACACAUGCAAGUCGAGCGGAUGAAGGGAGCUUGCUCCUGGAUUCAGCGGCGGACGGGUGAGUAAUGCCUAGGAAUCUGCCUGGUAGUGGGGGAUAACGUCCGGAAACGGGCGCUAAUACCGCAUACGUCCUGAGGGAGAAAGUGGGGGAUCUUCGGACCUCACGCUAUCAGAUGAGCCUAGGUCGGAUUAGCUAGUUGGUGGGGUAAAGACCUACCAAGGCGACGAUCCGUAACUGGUCUGAGAGGAUGAUCAGUCACACUGGAACUGAGACACGGUCCAGACUCCUACGGGAGGCAGCAGUGGGGAAUAUUGGACAAUGGGCGAAAGCCUGAUCCAGCCAUGCUGCGUGUGUGAAGAAGGUCUUCGGAUUGUAAAGCACUUUAAGUUGGGAGGAAGGGCAGUAAGUUAAUACCUUGCUGUUUUGACGUUACCAACAGAAUAAGCACCGGCUAACUUCGUG
rnacentral:rRNA from 1 species